CUAUGCAACCUCUCUUUCCUUCACUCUCUCUAGCCGAGUGCCAAACCACCAUAACCUUCACCAUCCAAGAGAAAUUUGUCUCUCAAAAUAUCACAACCCCACUCUGUGAAGCUUGGUGAGCAUGGUGCUGCCUUUGCAUGUGAAAAUCGUUACUAGUUUUCCGGUGAAGAUGUCUAGUGAAGCUUCAUCAAAUCCAGGAUGGGUUCAACUCGAAAUCUUCAUGUUUUGGAUCUAGCAAGAGCAAGUCGUGCGUUGAGGAGGACAAUUGAGCUUAGCAGUAGUGCAGGCUUCAUACUUCAUAUUAGUUGGAGAGUUUCACUUUUGCUUUGUCGAUAUCUAUUUAUAGUCAAUUGUACGAACUACUUUUGAUUAUAUAAAUGGCACAACACAAUACUUUUAUGAUUUACUGUUGUAUGCACUACUGCUAUGCUCUCAUCGAUGUGAUAUAAAAAUGAAAUUUAGUUCUAGCAUGUGUCCCCAAGUGGGGAGGUUGUGCAAGAACUUACCUAAUAGUUUAAAUAAUUAAUAAGUGGGCCUUUCGGUUCGAAAUAAUUCACAUCACAAUUUCCUUGCUUAUGCUUUGUCAUUAAGUUGAUAGUCUUUCGUCACAUUUAUGGUGGGGUUUUAUUAUCAAUUUAGUGUUGGCCAGCACAUUUUCACUCUUGGCUAGAAGGCUAUUCGGCUCGAGGUGUUUCGGUUUGGUAUCAAAGCAUGGUUAGUAGAAUAUACAUUCGCAUCGGAUGAUGCCAGUAUUUGUGCUACAAUUUUAAGGUCGACUUAAUAGAAAAUUUCUAUUUAGGUGUAUGUGUUGUUCCCGGUUUACAGCCAGUGACAGAGCUAGGAUUUUACAUGAGGAGGGGCCUCAUUUAAUGUUACAAAAAUAGAUAAUGUUUACGAAAGGGUAUAAUGCAUGCUUGGAGUUGUGAUCUAAUUAAAUUUUUUUGAGGCGCUAAAUGCUUUUUCCAUGUUAAAAUUAAUCUUCCAAUAUCAAGCCAAUAUAGAGAGUAGUUAAUCAAGAUUAAAGAGGAUUAAAAGAAAUUAACCUUCCAAUAUCAAGUCAAUGAAAAAUACUAGGGGAUCAUGUUUUUAGAUCAUAUUAUUAGUAAAAAGUUAAAGCGAACACAGAGAUUUACAAACCUUAACAUUGUUUUCGGUUGAAAAUUUGGAGGGCAAAAUUCAUGAAAUUCAACAAGGGAAGGAGGAAAAGCUCAAAGUUUAUUAUUCUUUAGGUUGACAAUAUAAAAGAAUAUCUUAUGAUAAAACUAAAGUAUAUUUUAGAUUUUAAUUUUAAGAGUUAUUGACUUGUAUACAAAAUAAGAGUUAGAUUUAGUUUUAGGAUGAGUGUCGUUGGGUGAAAAGAAAAAAAGACCUCUUGUUUUAAUUAUUGGUGAAUAGAAUUCAAAAGUUUUGUGUAAACUAAAAGAUGUAUAAUACUAAGUUUAAAAAAAAAAAUAUAUAUAUAUAUAUAUAUAAUACUAAAUAUUUAGAAGGGCUUAAAGAGUAGGCCUAGGCCUAUGCUAGGCAUAUAUUGCCUCCGCCCCUAUUUACGACAGUUAGUUGAGGCGUUAGCCCAACUAAUUCCCAUUGGAAAACUAAAGUCGUACUCGGACAGAGAUUGUUGUGAGUCAUGAAGCCUAUUCAACUGAUGACCGAAGGUCAGAUGAAGAAGCCUAAUUUUGGCUGAAUUACGGGAAUAAUGUCGUGGAAGUUACGAGAUGUCUGGAGAAUCAGAAGGUGUGCACCACGGCAUUUUCGUGUCAGGAGUGCUAAGAAGUUUUGAAAAGCAGAAAAGAGGACGAUAUCGAUGAACACACUUGCGAUAUGGGAAUUGUUAAAGGCAAAAACUCAAGAUUAAUUUCUUAAGUCCUAAAUUUCACAUGAUGCAGAGACGAAAGUUUCCAUCGCUUGAGUAAGGAGACAUGUCGGUAGCCAAUUAAGAGCAGGACUUCCGGAGAUUUAUUAAGUUAUGUCUGCGAUUCAGAAAUAACAUGAAGAAAAGGAGAACUAGUUUAUAGUGGAAUUAACCCGGGAUUUCGUGUUUAUUCUGUGGUUUAUGGAGUUAUUUAGGAAGCUGCUUUCUGCUUAGCUAAGAAAGCAGAGCAAGUAGUAAUUGUAAGAAGAAAGAAAAAUAAGCAGUGAAGACGGCAUUUAAGAACAACUUUAGAGGUCUACAAACGGUGGAUCUAAUUUGACUACUCCUCGGUGAGUAGGGUUUGGAUUGGUAAUACACUUUCCUUGAAAAUGGAUCGCGGAGUGGUUUCUCCUCGGAAGGAUCUUAUUUCCUUAUGCACUACAUGUUUCAUUUACCACAAUGGCAACGGUCGAACCGAAACAAUUUUACAUUUUAAUGAUGGUCAACUAGGACAUUAGUGGAAGAAUUUCUAAAUUCUAAUUUGAAUAUUGGGAUGCCUUUUGGUAUGAUUUAGUAUUCGGACUAUGGUCAUGGAAUGUUUCCAUGCUCGCUCUAUCUGUUAGUUCAAUCAACUUACUUCUCCAAGAUAACAACCUUUUCUACAGUGACAAACUUAAAGUGUAACUUUGAAUGGACGUGGCUUAGGCGGAAGACAAGAUAGGAGAAAUGAAGAACAGUAUGCGUUCGGUGGUCGCAACUCGACUAGAGUCAGCAAUUCGGAUGAUGCAACUUAGGGACAUGUGUUGUUAGGAACCAGCAAUAGGCUUUUGAAUAUUCGAACAUGAUCACGGUUAAGUGGGAAUCUUACGUGGAUAUUCUACUUGAAUAUUUUACUUUGUAUUCCUUUUCCUUUUCCUAUUCUUUUCUAGAUGGCGCGUCUUCCCAGUGAGUGGCGGCGUGUGGGGACCCUAAGACCUACUUUAGAUUUUUCGACAGUCCCAAAUCAAUUGGCACAAUCCAUAGGCUAAUUCAAAGCCGUUAAUCACAUUAAGGAGACAAAAUUUGUGAAAUGUUAGAAUAUGCUUAGUAAAGCUAAGUUUUAUUUUAUAGGUACAAUUAUAAACAAAGGUACCUAUUAUGAAUUAUACUCGCAUUAUCGGUGAGUUGAUUCCUUCAAAAACUACAUUUUCGAUUAAAUGGCUUUGAGAAAUGAUUUAUUUAUCUAGUCUUUAAAUGAGAUUCAAAUAGAAAUUGAUUUAUGAUGAAUUUAUAUGUUUUGAAGCUAGUUAAGGAUGAGACAUAUAAAAUUGGUCAACGGCCAUAAAAUCUAAUUUGUCAAUAUUAGUGAUUUAUUUUCACCACAUGGUCAUCAUGUGAUAUUUUAUAUAGCUAUGUUCGACCGUAAUAGCCUAGUUUGGCCGUCUUGGCUCUGAGCGUGCAGGUUGCUGAAUGAUCGCCCCAAACUCUUUCAUGAAUUUCCUAGAAGACUUGUACCAUGGAUAGGGUAAAGAAAAACCUCAUUUGUAGAGUUUGUUGUCAAUAAUGGUGUACCUAGCCACUCAAAACCGUACACAUGGAGAUUCACGUAUGUCUUCAGGGAAUGACCCAUGACAUAUGUCGUCAAAUAUUAGGGUUAUCCAAGUGUCUUUCUCGUUCAACUCCGCCACUGAGCUCUUAGGGCGUAGGAUACUAGGCUCGUCUAAGUGCUCAAUAAGUAACAAGCACUUAAUCUCCCCCUCAGACGCAGAUGUCAGCCUUACCUUGUGAAAAGCUUUACCAACUCCCUUGCUGCUUCCACGUAGGCCAUUAUGUUUCCGUCUCAGGACUUGAACUCGUCAUUUAUCUUAUUCACCACCAGUUGUCAAUCACUAUAAACUUGGGCAUACUUAGCCCCUAGCUCCAGAGCAAGUUGUAGUCUUGUUCGGGUUGUAUUUCUAGAUCUAGUCCCUUGCAUAACCCCCUAGGAAAAUGGCUAUUUCUUGCCUGUCGGACAAGAUUUUGCUUCUUGGUGUGCUGCAAGACGAGUUUAUAGUUAGUUCGAAAGGUGUCCUUGGGGGCCCUUUGGUGUAGGCCUCGAGGCUCACAAUCAAAACUAACAAAGAUCUAAGCAUGCCACUGUUAUUUUUGUAUAACAGAUUGUUGAAUAUGUGUAAAUUAGGUUGGUUACUUGUGCCUCAAGUUAUUUAGACUUCUUAUUUAUCAAAGGAUUGUCGCAGAUGGGUUAAGUCUACAUGAAGGUCUUUUUCUUGCCUUGUAAACAAGGACUUUUAAUUUAUAACAUUGUAUGUCCAAAAUGAAGGGGUUUCAGGGCCCUUCCAACCGUUUCCUCGAUCAAAGUUUGCUUUAAUGAAAAUAGGUUUAUUAACUUAUCCAUAUUUGAUUUGCAAAAUGAAACUUUUAAGUGUAAAAUAGUUGAAAAUGAUUUAAAUACAUGAAGGAAAAUGCAUUAAACGACAGAUCUACUACAUAUAAGUACAAACAAAAGAGAUUCGAGCAAGAUUUAACCUUGUUGGGCAAGGUUGAACUUCUUGCAACCACUUCUCUUUGUGUUUAUAGAGGUUUGUAUACUGAGAGGGAUGAAAAGUAAAUAGGUUUUACUAAAUGAAUCAGUACUACAACACUAAGGGAAGGUAGUUGAGCUUCUAAACUCAACAAAAUAUGGCUUUCUAAGGAGAAAUACAGCUAAAAAUGGUAGAAUCUGGACAAAGUGCAGCUUUCUAGGUAUGAACUUGUUUGAGAACAAAGUUUGGAUGUCUUUUGAUUGAUUGGUUGAGUGUUCUUGUCUCUGGUGUCUUUCUCUGCUUUUAUAAACAAUUUGGCUCGACUAUCCCAUCUUUACCUUUAACUUAUAACUUUCGGAGGGCAGUGAGUGAUCACUUACUUGCUCAUCCAUACCCUUAAAAAGUGCUUUUUGGCUGGUGGUGAGGUGCUUUAUGUUGCCCAUCACUUCAAACAUAGGCAUAUGGCCUAUGCCUUUGCUAAAAUAGCUUUUAAUUCCUCUCAGGCCUAUCGACUUGCCUAAGCUCAAUCUUCUAUUUGCUUUUGCAUCUUUGGGCCUCCAUUAUCAUAAAGCCCAUGAUCUCCAAUCUUAACUAACUGCUUGUUAAAUAACCUUUAUUUAAAUUUCCUCGGUUAUCACUUACAGCAAACUCAUAUCUCUUAAUUUCCAGAACCCUUGAACCUCUUGCAUUCUCUGCCCUUUCUUGCCAUUUGCCUUCAAUCACUCUUAUUUUUCUCCCUCGAAAUCAAUCAUGGCCCCCAAACUACGCCUUGAAUGAGAAUCUGGAGAGGGGAUGGUCAAUUUGCGCUGUUGGCUUAACGGCUUUCAUCGCCCUCGGGCUGGCCUGAACCUGUCCAUCUUCUUCUAGGAGGAAAGGGUACAUUCUCUAAGGCUUGCCUAGACUGUCUCGAGUCCCAAUUGUAGUGGAAAACAACAUGCAUGCUGCCCAUUGUUUACCCCCAACCCCUAUUCCACCAAGGGUGGGAUUUUUGCCUCCAAGUGGUCAAAUUUUAGGGAGGUUUCCCUCUUAUGAAGGACAAGGCUUGGUCUCAGUGGGUGGACGAGCUAGAACCUAUUUGGAAGCAAAAAUGGAUGGUGAAUGGCAUCUACGAGUUGAUCAUGAUGUCAAAUAUCACUAUCCCAAUCAAGCACAAGCUCUUGUCAACUGUCUUGCUCUUCUGGAACAAUGGGACCAACACAUUCGAAUUCAGAAUAGGUCUCAUGACUCCCACGAUCUUGGACAUGGCUCAAGUCUUCAGCUUGAGGCCUUCGAGCAAAUGUGUGGAUAUCACACAUGACUGGUCAUCACCUUCUUGCCUAACCAUUGAAAGCUCGGAGGACUCCAAUGUUAAUCACUUAUCUAGAGUACAAUUCCUUCACCUUUAAAAGCUACAAGACAUCCUUCGUGGGCUUCAUUCCCUUUGCCAAGAAGAUGUUCAGCCCACCUUCCCCAACUGCAGACAGAGCCUAGAACACAUGUAUUUCUUCCUUUAUUGGUUGAAUAAGCAUGUGUUCCCUAACAAAUCGAAUGGGGUAAAGCUGGAGUGGAUCCCCUUGGUGGAGGCACUACACUCAUUUGAUGAUGUUAUCAUAAGGUCAUUCAUUCUAGCACAUCUCUAUCACCUUUUCCACAAAAUGACCAAGUGCGAGCCAUUUGAGACCAACGUUAACAUCGCUACUUAGAUAGUGCAGCUCUGGCUCCAGUGGUACUUCCUCGAGUUUUGGGCUGCUAAUCUGGAGUUCCUUGAGGAGGAUUCCAGUAGCUCAUGCAAGAAGUUUAUCAGCUGCAUCCAACAAAGAGACCUGGCCUUGGAGGUUUGAAGUGAUAAAGUAGGGUACGAGCACAGGCUAGAGAUCUGUUAUCCCAACUUCUGUGCUAGAUAACUGGAUUCAGGUAGGCACUUUCAAUGUUCUUCUUCGACUCUUUUCACUGUAAGACCUCAUAUUGCCUUUGUUCUCCAUCUAAGGUCACCUUUCGGGCAACGCAGCGCAGUCUUGAGGUGAUGAGUAGGAUUACCCACAAGCUUGUGGCCCUAAAUUUCGAGUGCACUCCUUAGUUUGCCAUUUGGUGGGAGGCCAAGUGGUCGAAGAAGUACGAUAGAGACAUCAUAGAAGCCCAUGACAGUCUCUUUAGUCAAGUCUUCUUCAAAUCUCACCCCAAGAAGGACAAGUUCGAGAACUGGAAUAAGACUAUCAACCAAAAGAACCGCUUCUACUCAUAGGCAACAUUGAGGAAGUGGAUGUUGGGCAAAAAGAGGAUAUUAAUGAUGCCUUGGUUCUUCAAGAGGCUACUGUAGAGGAAGCUAGGCAAAAAGUAGGGUUUAGCCAUGCUUCUGGGGAUACUAAGGAGAUCUCCAAGCUAUUUAGUGAAUCAGAGGCUAAGGCUAGGCCUAAAUUCGAGACAAAAGCCCCUCGUCGGGCGAAGGCUUCUGUGGUGAAGUCGUUGGAGUCUGAGCUGAGGAGAGGUCCCAAGCUCAACUUGCCUUACCUAGCCCGAGAGUUACUUAUACAAAGACAAUGACUAGGUCUCAGAUUUCCCAGGCCUCCAAACCCUCAUCUGCCCAUCUAGUUAAAGCGGGCAGGAAGAAACAUAAAUCCUCCAAGCCUUCUACCACUAAGAAACCUGCCCCCACUUCCAAAUAGUCACAAUCAGGUGUUGAAGUGCAACCAAGUGACAAGAAGGUCCUCACCAAUAUUCUCGAGGAGUUGAAGGAUACCAAAGCAAAGGGAACCUCGUAGUGCGAGCCUUCUUCUCAUCCAGCCCAAUCUGCGCAUAUUUCCCCUCAUCGGGGCUAAGCCCUCAGAGGCAAAGGGAGGCACUUCUACAUCUCAAGUCGGGCAAACACCAGCUUCUACUUCUUUCACUUCUCAUCUGGUAAUGGUGGUGAUCCCCACUUCUUUGUUCAAUCCCACAACUUGGGAGAUGCUUCAUUACAUAGAGGAUGACAACACUUCUAUAAGUUUUUUUUCCUUAAGUCCUUCUGAGUUUUCUUUUAAGUUUCUUCAUUAACUUACAACCUGUAUUAUCUUUGCUAGUAUUCUAUAGUACACAAGACCACCCAUCUAUCAACACCAACCUUUAGGGAACUUAUAGUCCCCUAGAUACCUGUUGUCUCUGAGGUGACCAGCCCCAAGGCUUCCCAAGCUUCCUCUCGGGCCAGCUAGCCUACUUCUCCUAAGUCAACUGCAUCAGCAGAACCCCCUCCCAAAGCUUAAGGCUCAGCUCAGAUAUACAAGUUCUUUCAUUUAUGUUCUUUUUUUAGUUUAGUUAUAGACUAACCCACUAACUUGUCUUUUCUUGGUUUAACAGGCUUCUGAUGAGGAUUUGGGCAAGUCUCCCUAGCCGGUAAUGAGCAAGGCGGUCCUCCCUCAGCCUCCCAAGGUUUUUGGAGUCAUAGGGAUCCCCAUCCCUCGACCUAGAAAAGUUGUUGCUGCUAGUUCAUAGUUUUUCCCCUUCAUUUCUAUUGAAGCUGCCAUUGCUGCUGUUGCCUCUAAGGGUGCUGGAGUAAUGUUUCCCCAUCUAGUAUCUAUUCCAGUCAUGGCUUCCUUGCCCGAACUAAUGAAAGAGUUUAGGAAAAUCAAGACAAAGAUGAAGUCUUCAAAGCGCCUCUCCGCACCUCAACAUCUUCAAGAUCUGUAGAGAGUCUUCAAGGAAUGGAUGCAGAAGGAUUUCACAGCCUCCUUUAGCCUCAAGGCACUUCAGAUACUGAGAAAGUCCUCACUGAAUUGUACAAGGCUCAACAAAUGUCAAAGGUUCAAUAUGAGUUCUUUCUUUCUUUCUUGGAGAAUUUGAAAGCUGUAAGGGACCAAUAUCUUUGGGCAGAAAGGCAAGCAAAUAAAGUGAAGUGUUAUAAGGAGAAGCACUCCAGAACUUCCAACUCCUUGCAGUAACUAGUAAAAGCGAGCUUGGCUAUGGUGGUUGUUGCUAAGAUCCAGAAGUUGGAGGAGCAACUUUCUAUACAACUAAAGGUUGAUUAGAUAACUCUAUCAAGCAAACUAUAUCAGAAAAUUGAGGAAGUGAAGAAAGUCAAUCUUGAAGUGGAAGAUUCCUAAGCUCAACUAACCAACAAUAACAUCGCCUUAAGGGAGCCGGGCAUAAUCUUUACUAUUAUGCAGACCUAUCAUUCUAGGAUAGAUGCCUUAGCAAGGGAUGUAAACUUGUUAGGCUAGGAUCUCUUGUAACCUUUUGAAGCCUUACUGAACUUACAUUGAUUUCCAUAAAGAGUACAACAUCUUGCCUGAAGGUUAAUGCAUAAAAGGUGGUCCUAGUUCCUGCCUUCUUUGAGGUUUUGUAAGCCUAAAUAGUAUCUCCCAACUUCUUAUGCCAAAUAGUAUCUCCCAACUUCUUAUGCCACCUUUCUGGACUAUCUACCACCAUUCUCUUAAUGAUAUUCACCAAAAUCUUAUUGCUA